rnacentral:rRNA from 1 species
AUUGAACGCUGGCGGCAGGCCUAACACAUGCAAGUCGAGCGGAGCGGCGGACGGGUGAGUAAUGCCUAGGAAUCUGCCUGGUAGUGGGGGAUAACGUCCGGAAAGGGGAGCUAAUACCGCAUAAUAACAGAUGAGCCUAGGUUGGAUUAGCUAUGUGAGGGGGGAAAGGCUUACCAAGGCGAAGAGCCGUAACUGUUCUGAGAGGAUGAUCAGUCACACUGGAACUGAGAGACGGUCCAGACUCCUACGGGAGGCAGCAGUGGGGAAUAGUGGACAAUGGGCGAAAGCCUGAUCCAGCCAUGCCGCUUGUUUGAAGAAGGUCUUCGGAUUGUAAAGCACUUUAAGUUGGGAGGCGUUACCAACAGAAUAAGCACCGGCUAACUUCGUACCAGCAGCCGCGGUAAUAC